UUUUGGGACUUACAUCCGGUUCCGGUUCAAGCGCAGAUUAAUAGAACUACAGACUGAUAGUGUUACUGACGGAAUCUACAGCGUCUUGAGCUGAAUUAAGACUUCAGAAGUCAUUCGUCAUGUCGAAUGACCAGCGGAUAAACUCUCAGGUGAAGAGCCUGAGGCCGGUGACAGUCCAGUUCUACUCUAAUUACAUCCUUACGGUGGCUCACAGGACAAGGCGACAUUCCUGUCCUGCCAGAAGAGAAGAGAAACUUCAGAGUCUUCAUGAAGUUCAACCAAAACCUGUCAUAUGGAAUAUGACAGGGGUCUCAAACUCCAGUCCUCGAAGGCUGGUGUCAUGCAACUUUUCCAUGCCCUCGAUAACUGGAGUUUGAGACUCCUGCCGUAUGGUGUUCAUGCAGUUUUCUACCCCACAGUUACAGCAUGUCUGACUGCCAGUUCAGCAUAUUCAAAAAUAUAUGAUGAGUUUAAGCAUGUGAUGACAAAGGCCUUGCAUUAUGGUGUUUGUCAUCACAUGUCACAGACAUCUGGAUGAUCAUUUGGAAUAAACAAAAAAACGAAUAACUUGUUACUUCAUCUUUUAUCUUUAUUAUUAUUGUUGUUCUUAUUUUACAUUUUUCAUUGUUAGGCAUUAGGUUUAUUUGUAGUAGUCCUUUCCAGCUUCUCUCCCUCUUCCAUAUUACUGUGUCAGCUUGUCAGCAUCUAUUUGGGGUUGGGAAUGGAACAGGAAGUAAGGAACAGAAAGUGCCAUUUAAACCAGGAGAGGUUCUUAUAUUUCAGAAGAAGGGAUUAAUUCAAAAGAAAUGACCUCAAUGCCAUAUUUUAUUUAGGAACCCUAGAGAGCACUUUGCAAAAUAACACAUUCUUAUAAUUUCACCCUCAGAUGAGCCAAGCUACGACUGUCAGGGAAGGUGAUGUAGGUACAGAGCAUGUGAGAGUGGUUAAGUUAAUGUCUCUUGUCUAGAUGAAGGCACAGGAGGGAUCAAUGGCACAGCGUAGAGAUUCAGUAUC
ensembl:lncRNA